rnacentral:misc_RNA from 1 species
UGCCAGCCUAGUUGGGAAAGGUAGAAGCAGCACGAGCGAGUAGCUAGUCCGCCUUCCUCCACGUCCCUCUCCGCUCCCCCUCCACCUCUCUUUCCUGCCCAGCAGCUUGGAACCGGAAGAAGCCUGCAAAACCGCAUUCAACAGACGGAUAAUCGAGAACCACGCAAAGUCCGAGCACGCACCACACGCACCCCCCAACUAAGAAACGAAAGCGCGUUUGCAACGGGCAGCCUCAAAAACAGCAGCGGCUCACCAUACGUGUCGGCACGCACCUCUCACCGAACGUGUGAACCCGGAGGACGAAGAAGACGCGCAAGUAGAUUAGAGCAGAGGUGGCUGAGGCACCUGCGGGGUUACUGCUCGAGGCGCCGCUACAGAACGAGCCACCACUCAACAGCAGAGAAACACGAAGGGCGGGCGACAGUGCACCUUGCUGUUUUGUGCGCGUGUCGGUGGUUUUCCUUAUUUUUACCUUCUUGGUGGGUCACGGCCGUACGCUGUUUCUCUCUCUCUCUCGCUCUGUGUGCGUGUCACUGACGCUCCCCCUUUCCUCUUUCGCAACCUCGAACACGACGACCACCAUCACAUACACACCUCUGUAUAAUUCAAGCCCCUCCCCGCCCUCCCCACCGGUGCAUCAGCGUCUUAGAUCGUUCUUUGUGUGUGUUUGUGUGUUGGCUACCCGUUCGCUGUAGCUGCGCCUGAGUGUUUUCUUCGUUGGCGUGCGUGUCUCUCCUUUCCUGUUGAUUUUUUUUUUCGUAGUUGUGCCUCCGUCCCGCUGCGCGCCCGCGCGUGUGCGUCGGUGACGCUCUCCCUUCCUCUGCGUGUGUGUUCACGUUUGCUUGUUUGCUCUCUCACGCUGUCGUUGAACUCCCGCUGUUGGCCACGUCCUGUCGUUUCCUGUCCCCCCCUCUCUUCCCUGCCUGUCUGUCCCUUCUCACCUUCACUCUCUAUUUCUAUCUGUGUGUGUGUGUGUGUGUGUGUGUGUGUGUCUAUCAAACCCCCUCUCCCUUUCCCUUCUCCACCACACGACUGCCACCCCUCCCUCUCCCCCGCCCCCCUUUCUGUUUGUUCGUUGUGUCGCGUCUCGCAGCUCUUACGCCUGACUCCCUAGUUGUGCUCUCUCUCUCCUUUCUUUUUUUUUUUCGUUCUUCCGUUCUCCUUUCCCUGUGACUCGCAUCGCAUUGCUGUCCUUUGUGCUCGCCGAGCUUCCUCCCGGUCUUGCGGGCGCGCUUCUCCGGUGUGCCCCUUUCCUCCUCCUCCUCCGCCUCCUCCUCCGCCUCCGCCUCCGCCUCCGCCUCCUUCCAUCCUCCAUAGCUGUCAUCUGCUUUCACCGCGAACUCCGUUCCCUUGCCCUUUCCUCCUUGUCGCUUGCCUGUUUCGCUUAUCGACUCCCUUUCUCGCUUCUUUGCUUGUUGUGCAUGCCUUCGCCCGCUAUCAGUGAAUCUCGCGUCACAUUUUUCCUUUUUUUGUUGGGCUUUUCUUUUUUUUUUUUGGGUUUGUUUGCGUGCUGCCUCUCAAGCUCUCCUCCUCCCCCCUCUCGCCUUCCCUUCUCUCACGUCCCUCUGCGGCUGUCUCUUCUUGCGUACAUCUCUGUGCUGGUGGUCGCUGCUCUGCCGUUGAUUGGGGCGCGCUUGCCAUCUCUCGUCGUUCUCGUUGUUGUCGUUGCUAUUUUCCGCAUCGUCAUCUGGGAUAUCUCGCCGCCCUCCACUCAACCGUCAACCCAUCACGUGUGGCCCCCUCUCCCUCCUCCCUCCCUUUCUCUCUCUCUGAGUACCUCGCAGCUGCCGCGCGCGAAUAUUGUUGAGCAUCCGUCUCUCUUUGAAGUAGAGCCUCUCUGUGUGUGUGUGUGUGUGCUCCUCUGGCGUGCGGCGGAAGGAGGCGGUGUGAGGCAUCGGGCAGAGAUUGGGAGCGUGUGGGCUGCAUCUUCCUUUCCGCCGCUGCAUCCUUCUCCUUCUUUGUUCUGUUCUCGCUAACACCCACUUUCUCCCGAGUGCACAACGCUGCUCCCGCGCGUGUUCUCUCGGCUCGUCUGUCCGUCUGUUUCGCUGUCUAUUUAUCACGUCACUCUUGGCUUUUAUCAUCCUUUUUCUUCUGCGGUGUGUGUGUGUGUGUUUCCUUCCCCUUCCCUCGGGUCUGCCGGCUGCCAAUUAGCUCCCUCUUCGUUGCCACGUAUAUAUGUACUCCUCCCCCUCCCUCCCACGCCCGCUUCGCUCUUGAACCCUCUGAUCCCCACCACCCCCGCCCCGCCCUGUCCUGCCCUUAUUGUUACUCUCAGCGUUAUCGCCUUCUUUGUUUCUUUUUUUUUCAGAAAAAAACAUUCGCUCGACUGCUGUGUGUGUGUGUGUGCGGUGCUCACGGGUGUAGCUCGCUCUGCCUGUGUGUCUGCGUGUCGUAGCCUCCCCCCCUUCCCCACCCCCAGUCUUCGGUUUACGUUCUUUCUUUACUUCGUGCGCGCGCGCUUGCCGUUGUCUGUGUGGGCGCACGCACAGGCGUUUGGUAGGUGAAUCGGCGGCGCAUGCGCGUACCCUCUUUCUCUCCUCUCCCUCCACUUCACACGCCUCGUUACCCCACGCGUCGCACAGCAUCUGUGUGGCGACGCGGGCCUACGGGCCGUUCUUUUCCGUGUUUCCCUCUUCGUACAGUGACGGCAGUCGCUGAGGUACUCCAGCCAAACGGUGCUGGAAGCACAGAAAGGCUCGAAGAGCACGCGCGCGCACCAACACGCGUGGACACCCACACGCACGCACACAAAACAUACAGUGAUGGACUCGGCGUCAGGCAUUAGUGGCUCUGCAUGCGGGUCCAGGCAUAAUCGGCCACGGGUCUUCUGCGUUGUCUGCGGAAGCUGCAGUGAGCAUCUUAUCCUCCGCAAGUCAGGCCUCAAGUGCGCGAGCUGCGUAGGGAAGUCGUCGAACAAGCACUACGCUAAGUUGCAGAAGCGGCAGGCAAAGAAACUCUUUUCCAAUGCCUUUCCAGCGCAGAGCCCGACUGCCGGCUUAGACACCGCCUCCUCCGUGCAACCCGGAGACUGCAGCCAAACCAAUCGCCUUUUCAGCUCUGCUUCCUCAUCGCUACCACCAGCCGUGGAGGACUACAGCGGCACCGCCGGAGUGUCCACGGAGCGCAGCAGCACCUUGCACCCUAUCGAAGAGUACAUCAGCGGCACCUCGGUGUACCGCGCCGUCAUGGAGCAGGCAUGCUACUCCGGUGAGAACGAUCGAAGCGGCGGCGAGGGCGGCAGCGGCGAUCGGCAGACACUCAUGAGCGGUGCGGACGGCGUCACCCGAUCCACAUCCGACGCGCUUAGUAAAGCACAUCAAGAGAACACUGCGUCUGGCUCACACACCAACGUCUCCUCCUCGGCUGCUGCCGGCGAUAAUGCUGGAGAUAUGCGUCGAACAUCUCCGCCCCUUAUGACUCAACGCCAAGAAAGUGGCGAUGCGCAGUGCAGCGACCCAGGUUCGGCGAAGAGCGGUAGAGAUGGCGUCGGCAAGACACCGCUCUGCCGAGACUCUUCACUCAUCCCUCCAACGCCGAUUCUCGACAAAGUCACAGAGAAGGAGGCCAACAAUCAAGCUCCGGCGCGUUGCUACAAGACGGCGCCGUCGCGCUUGCCGCCCCGCCACGGGCCUCGAGUGACCAAGGGCACGCCGCGUCUGCCACCGUCCGCGGUCGACGUGAGUAGAGUGUCCGCAGCGCAUACGGUCUCUGCAAAGUCCAACGGAAAGGCGACGGGCACCUCCUCGCUGAACGGCGCGACUGCGUCCCCGCCGUCCUCCGCCAUCAAGGCGGUGCCCGCCGCAGCUCGCUGCGUUGAGGGCCAGGACUUGAUGCCCGAAAGUGGCAACAGCGUGUUGCGCGACGCCACCCUGCCACCCGCCGAGCCCGCCGCCGGCCAGCACCACUCGCACCCCAGUACGCCGCGCGGCGACGAAGGUACCACACCAUUAGCAGCGAGCCUUUCCCAAAACCCCACGCAUCCUCCGCAGGUGCUGCGGGCCUCCAGACAGUCACCGACGACGUUCCCGGACGCGAGCUUGGGUCUGCCAGCGCCGCGAGCAGGCAGCUGCAACACAUCCAUCACCUCCUCGACGAUGGAGCGCGGCCCCGCGUCGCGACUGCCGCUGCUUCACUCGCACGCGGAUAGCAACGCGGGUACGCAGGUCCAACGUGAUUCCCAAGGUGGAACUCGGCGCUUGAGCGCAGCGCCGUCGACAGUGUCAACGCUGCCGAACACGUCGGUGCGGCCCGUAGACGCGCCCGGGGCUGCCGGCGCAGGAGCGCCGUCGCUGAGCCGUAUGCCAAAUUCCUCAGGGGCUACCGCCGCUGCUCUCGACAACUGUCAUAGCGUCGGCAGCAGCAGCCGAUGCCGGCACAACAAGCGAGGCAGCCGCGGAGGCUCCUCCGGCGACUCGGAGUCGUCUUCGUCCAGCUUGUCCGAUGACGCCUCCGCCAUUGAUUCAUCGUUGCCCUCAGUGGUAUCGUCAGCGACGCCAGAGGCCGUCAUCGGAGAGGACGGUGCUGCCACCAGUGGGACGGGCACGAAGAAAGCGCUGCACGGCGGCACCAACGCCCUCGAUGUGGGCACGAAGAAGCGGACAAGACAGGUGCCAAAGUCGGUGGACAGCACAAUGGAGAAGAAGGGGGCAGGCGGCAGCGCGGGCCACGGGCUUGCGACAACGCCCCUUAGCGGCUAUAUCGAUGCCUUGCACAUAACCGUCGAGUCUGUUCAGCCACCGUUGCUGAACGGUCCAGAGACGACGACAUUCGCCCCUUGUGGUGGUGAUGAGCUACCGCAGGCCGCAACGAGCUAUAACGACGAGAGUAGCACUACCACAGGUGACACACACAGCCGCUGUGACUCGAUACGCAGUGGCUCCUUCCGCACAAACGACGGCUACCAGCGGCAGGUGUACGUUGUCGGGCAGUCGGGCAACUUCAAGGUGACGCGGCACAUUCGCCAGUGCAGUGGCAGUAGCGAUGUGCUCGCCGGGCGGAGCAGCGCCGCCGUUGCCUCGUCUGCGUCUGGCACGCUCACGGCGACGCGUCUACGCGGCCGGCAGCAGCACGGCAGCUCGGGCGACACCAUGGGCACUGGCGCGGUGGAGGUGAAGAGGAUCUCGUACCGCAUAAUCGUCAAAAACCGCUGCAGCGGCGAAGUUCUCUUGACGCAGGAGCGGCGUCUCUACACCCAAAUCAUACCCGCGCUGGAGCGGGUGAAGGCGAUCGCGGGCGGCGAGCUGCCGGCGGUGCCGGUGAAGCGGCUGCCCAGCCUGCGGUUUGCCACGGAGGUGUUCACGGAGGAGCGCCGUGCAGAAGUCGAGGCGUUCCUUCAGGCCGUCGCGCUGAGCCCCUUUUAUGUUCGCCACCCAGAAGUGGUGAAGCUGCUCGGGCUGGAGCUGUACGUGACCGACGCCGGCGCGGCCGCAGCGACCGGUGCCGCAGCGGCGAAAGGCAGCCGUGGCAACGGAGCGGAUGCUCAUCGGCCCAGCAAAUCACCACGCGCCAUGCAUACGAAAUCAUCACCGUCGAUGGGCGUCGGCGCCGACAUCGAGGUAACACCGCUGGCACGAAGAGGGGCUGCUUGUGACUCGAAGUAUCUUAGUCGUCACUCAAGAGAUGGCGAGGCCGGCGUUAGAGCGGCUGCGGCGACUGGCCGCGGUGAGGCGGGCACCGGCUGCCUCACAGUAGACGCCCUCAACGCUUAUUGCUCCUUGACUAUGGGGGGCGGUGGAGGCGACACCGCUGAUAGCAGGAAUUUCUGCCGCUCGCAGAGCUGCUCCAGCGUGCAGACCUCUUGCUCUUCCGUGGUGCGUCGUCGCAAGCUGGACGAGGUGACCAUGGAGGACCUCGAGCACAUCCAACUCGGCAAUCUCAUCGGCCGCGGCACUUUCGGUUCUGUCUACCUGGGACUAGUGCAGACCCAACGUGGCUCGCUGAUGGUGGCCGUGAAGGUGAUGAAGGUCGGCGAGGCGGUAGCGCCGUCGGAGAUGGAGAGCCUUCAACGCGAGCUGGACGUGCUGUGCGCCGCCCGGCACAAGAACAUCAUCCGCUUCCUCGGCAGCUCGCUGAAUACGACGACGCGUGACCUGCGCGUCUUCACGGAAUACGUGGAGUGCGGCACCAUCCGCUCCCUUGUCGACCGCUUCGGUGCCUUGACGAUGCUGGCGAUUCAGCAGUACAUGCAGCAGAUACUGAGUGGCCUGCAGUACCUGCACAGCCUCUCGAUCGCACAUCGCGACAUCAAGGGUGAGAACAUUCUCGUCACCAAAAAUGGCCGUAUCAAGCUCUCCGACUUUGGCAGCAGUACCGGCGCGCCGUGCAAGGUAGUGGCCGCUGCCGAGUCCCCUUCCAAGGGGGGAAGCGGCGGGAGUGCGGACAGCGCGGCAAACGGUGGCCUCCCGGUCGGCUCACCGCAGUACAUGGCGCCAGAGGUGAUUCAUGGCACCGUCAAAUCGUUUGCCGCGGUCGACAUCUGGUCACUCGGGUGCGUCGGGAUUGAGAUGAUGGAUCGACCCAUCUGGCGCGAGAGCCCAAGCACAAACCCGUUCGUCUUUCUCUAUCGCAUCAGCCGUUGCGGGACGCCUCCGCACGGGCUGCCAACGGACGAUGAGCUCGCCGCGCUCAAGGCGGAAGGCAAGAAGACGGAAUGCGAGGGCUUCUCCGUGUACCUGGAAUUUCUCAGGAGCUGCUUGCGCGUUGACCCGGAGCAGCGCCCGUCCGCGGCGGAGUUGCUCAAGCACCCCUUCAUGACCUACCCGUACUCGAAGCACCUCCGCUGGAUGCCGCCGAUGCCCGCUACCGCGAAGCCCUCAGCUCUCAAGUCUUCAUGAUUGGCGAAGGUGCGCCCCGUCGCACCGAUCCGUGUGCGUGUUAGUGUGUGCUGUUCAUGUUGUGUGUGCACAUACGUAUAUACCACACAUUUAUAUCUAUGUUUUCUGUUUUUGCUCGGUGUCUUGUUUUCGCCGUCCCUUCGCUCUCCUCCCGCCCCCCCUGCGCACAUGGGACGUACGUGUGUUGUCAUGGCGAGGGUGUCGCAGUGUUGUGUGCGUGCCAGUGGGUGCUGCGAGGAACGUGCUUGUGUGCUUGUUUCAUGCUCCCCCUUUUUUGCUUGCUCUUGCUUACUUCGCUUGCGGAUGUGCUCCCUCCCUCCCUCCUGAUCUCUCUCCAUCUAUCUAUAUAUGUAUGCGUGUGUACGUGUACGUGUGUCUGUAUUUUGUUGUGUGCAUGCGUGUUGUCUGCCUUGUCCGUGGGCGAAGGUUUUCCCCCCUCUCACUCUCCGCCCUUCUGUUGCUUAUGUGUGCACGUGUGUGCCUCUUGUCGGUUAGACCGUUGUCGCG